UUUUAAGAUUUCCUGUUUGCGUAUCUCACUCAAAAAACACUUCCUUUGUUUAUUUAGUUGUAUUAUCUAACUAUUAAAUACUGCUUUUACUCAUAGCAACAUGAAAACAGCUAAGACUGAGUGAAAUGCAGCUUAUUUAUUCUUUGUCAGCAAAGUCACUUAUUAAACACAAAGCUAGUUAUCUGUACAAGCUCACUGAAGGCUAAGGUAGUUAUGCAGAAAAAGGAAGGAGCCAUAUUCACUCCCCAGUCCCUUUGGCGAUGCAGCGAGGGAAAUGGUUAUCUGUGAAAUGAAUGCAUGCUUUGCAAUCAUUUGCUCCUGCUGUUCUGAGUUCAUUUUUCAGCUCUGCUUUCACGAUCUGUUCAGUUCUUCCUUCCACUGAAAGCCUUGGGAAUUUUACUCUUGAUUUCACUGGAAAACAGGACUGUAUCCUAAUUAUUUUGAUUUAAAGAAUAAUAAGUUCAGUGGCUCAUAUAAAAUACUGCAUUCUGUAGCUUGCUUAGUUAUAAGUGACUAAUUUGCAUCUCACAGAAGUGCUAGUCAUCUCAAAUUUUUAUUAUUUGGAACAAGAUCGUAAUUAGAAACCGGGAGGAGCAGAACAGAUUCUCAGACAAGAAUUUCAGUGUAAAUCAUUUCCACUUUUUGCCGAUGUGUUCUUUUGGGAACUGAUGAAGUAAAAUACUUUGAUGGGGGAAGGAAAAUGUUGUGUGCAUUAAUCCUGUUAAAAAGCUUUGUUCCUUCCUUUUGUCUGAACAGGUAAGCAUCUGAACUUGCCGUGAGUUAGUCACAGCAGAUGUGGUUUGGAGAAAGGGGACAUAUGCCAACCUGGUACCAUUGCCACCUUAGAGGAGGGAGAACAGUUGAAGUGCAGAAAACCAUUUCACUUCUAUUUCUACCUGACUCCAUCAACCACAAGAAUACCUCAGUGUGGCAUAUUUGACCCAUGAAUUCUGCAGCAGUGGGUCAUGGAUGUUUCUGCUAUGCGCUGAUGCGUUCCAUCCCAGUUGCCAUCUACAUCAUUUUGAUAACAGGCCUGCGGUACCACCUGUUCAUAUGGAGCGUCUUCUCGCCAAAGCUGCUUUACGAGGGAGUGCAUGUGUUCAUCACAGCUGCUAUCUGCUUGUUCUUUACAGCCAUGGACCAGAACCACUCUCAGAAGGUGCAAGACUGAAAAUGAGUGUGUAGCACACAGUUCUGUACUGUGAUGCCCUGUGUGUCUCUGGAAUGGAAGAAGGAUGACAGUGGCUUCAAAUUGUUGUGCAGAGUGUGAAGAACAAUGUUGUGUAAUUUUAGCCAGUUCCACAUAGGGCUUGAAGGGCUUGUCCUGUGUUGCACAGUUUGCUUUAAAAAUGCUGAAUUGAAAUAAACUGUUUUAUCGUAUCAUAGAUAAUUUUGUUCUUUAGCUGUCAUUAUGACAAUGCCUGAAUAACUGAGUUGCAAUAUUACAUGACAGUCAGUUUUGCUAUAUGCCAAAUAUCUAGUUGUAUUUUUAAUAUGUGAGAGAUAUCUAACACUGAUUUUUUUUUCUUCCAAUUCCUUAAUGAAUUUGGAGGCUAGAUUUAAAUGAACUUUCUUGAGUUUUAAAGAAAAAUACUCUCUUUGGUAAAAAAGAUUAACACUGUCUCAAGUCAUUCUUGAGCUUCUGGCUUUUUUUCAUCAAUUUCUAUGUCUGACUCUUUUCAUUGACUUGGAAGAUGAAGAAAGAAAAGUUCAUUAAAUGCUGGCCCCCCCAAAUCUUGUAACCUUACAUAAGGGUUACCGUAACCCUAAAUCAGAAAUCUGUAUGUAUUUGUAAAUGUGAAUGUGGUUUCUUUUUUCCCAAGAGACAGACAAUGAGAGAUUUUUGUUUCACACGUCUGUAUAAUAAACAUGUAGGAAGAAGGCAUUAGUAAAGACAGUGAGUGUAGACAAAAAAAAAACAACAACAAAACACUAAGUGAUUUGAUCAUUGAAACUUGAAAAAAGGCCUAACUGUUCAAUGUUUUUUGUUUAAUUAAAAUAAUUGCAUACACAUAAAUGCAAUUUGAACUACCUUGCAAAAGGUAGUUCUUGAUGUAGGUAUGGAGCAGCUGAUCACAGGCACUGAAAAAUAUUUUGCACAUGUGAUUUCUUUUUUAGCUUCGUAGACUGUGGCAUCUUAAAAAUAUGCAAGAUGUCUUGUUGCUGUUCAACAGAGCUCAUUAGCCAUGAGUUUUAUUUUGUUUCUUGUGUGUAUCGAACAUAUAAUUAAAUAAUUCAUACAGAUAUCUCAGGUAAGAGGCUUUUUUGCUUUUUUGUUGUUUUUUUUUAUUGUUACCUAGACAGCAUUUUUAUCAAAGGCAGUAUUUUCUUCCUGAGUGCAGUCAUUAACUGUGAUGGAUUUCUAUCUGCAUUUCUGUACUUCAGGCACUGGAUGAGAAACACUGAUGGACUGACAAAAUAAUGAAUCUUCUAUGAAGUUCA